GGCUCGUUGGUCUAGUAGUAUGAUUCUCGCUUUGGGUGUGAGAGGUCCCGGGUUCAAAUCCCGGAUGAGCACU